UACGUAGGGACCGAGCGUUGUCCGGAAUCAUUGGGCGUAAAGAGCGUGUAGGCGGCCACUUAAGUCCUGCGUGAAAUCUUGCGGCUCAACCGCAAGCGGUCGUGGGAAACUGGGUGGCUAGAGUGCGGAAGAGGCGAGUGGAAUUCCCGGUGUAGCGGUGAAAUGCGCAGAUAUCGGGAGGAACACCUAUGGCGAAGGCAGCUCGCUGGGACGUUACUGACGCUGAGACGCGAAAGCGUGGGGAGCAAACAGG
rnacentral:rRNA from 1 species